rnacentral:lncRNA from 1 species
GGCUAAUAAUAACAUGGCCACUCAGGAAAGCCUUGAAGUCUCGUACACCGCUGUGCCUUGCCACCUGGCCAAGCUCCCAGCGGUUGGGAGGUCGGCGAGAUUGACUGGGAGGGGGAUUGCCACCACAAGAGGUUCCACAACUUUCUCCUCCUUGAGAGGUGGCGGGGAUGGGUUGGAAGACGGAGACGGGGCGGAAGUAUACACCAUACCAAUUGAAGACAGGGACACAGCGGGGGGGGGAAUAUAUCGGGAUGAUAGGACGGAUGCUGGCAGAGGGGGUUGGGGAGCAUAGGAGUGGCGUAGGGAGGGGAAAGACUACCACAGCC